UACGUAGGGUGCAAGCGUUGUCCGGAAUUAUUGGGCGUAAAGGGCUCGUAGGCGGUCCAUCACGUCGGGAGUGAAAAGCUGGGGCUUAACCCCAGUCCUGCUUCCGAUACGGGUGGACUAGAGGUAGGCAGGGGAGAACGGAAUUCCUGGUGUAGCGGUGAAAUGCGCAGAUAUCAGGAGGAACACCGGUGGCGAAGGCGGAUCUCUGGGCCUUGCCUGACGCUGAGGCGCGAAAGCUAGGGGAGCGAAUGGG
rnacentral:rRNA from 1 species